GACGAACGCUGGCGGCGUGCUUAACACAUGCAAGUCGAACGGAAAGGCCCUGCUUUUGUGGUGUGCUCGAGUGGCGAAAGGGUGAGUAACACGUGAGUCACCUGCCCUUUACUUUGGGAUAACUUCAGGAAACUGGGUCUAAUACCUGAUAGUAGCUCCUGCUGCAUGUUGGGUGUUGUAAAGUUUCGGCGGUUGGGGAUGGACUCGCGGAUUAUAAGCUUGUUGGUGGGGUAUUGGCUUACCAAGGCUUUUACGGGUAGCCGGCCUGAUAGGGUGAGCGGUAACAUUGGGACUGAGAUAAGGCCAAGACUCCUACGGGAGGCAGCAGUGGGGAAUAUUGCACAAUGGGCGGAAGCCUGAUGCAGUAACGCAGCGUGCGGGAGGACGGACUUAGGGUUGUAAACCGCUUUAGCCUGUGACGAAGCGUGAGUGACGGUAAUGGGUAAAGAAGCACAGGCUAAAUACGUG
rnacentral:rRNA from 1 species